CCCUUAGAUGUUCUGGGCGGCCCGCGCACUACAUUGGCACUCUCAAUAAGUUCCUAGAUCUAAAACUUUGGGGUAUUCUAUUAAGUGGUGUCGUGACUGGGAUUAACCCUUGCAAUUAUUGGUUACGAACAAGGAAUUCCUUGUAAUCGCGGUUUAUCAGCCCGCGUUGAAUGCGUCCCUGCCCUUUGUACACACCGCCCGUCGCUCCUACCGAUGAAUCGUCCGGUGAAGUUCAUGGAGUGGUGGUUGUUCCAGCUGCUGUCGAAGUGAAAUGGACCUCACGAUUUAGAGGAAGGAGAAGUCGUAACA
rnacentral:rRNA from 1 species